GAUGAACGUUGGCGGUGCGCCUAAUACAUGCAAGUCGAACGGAGACUGUAGCAAUACUGUCUUAGUGGCGAACGGGUGAGUAACGCGUUGGUGAUCUGCCUCGAAGUGUGGAAUAACGUUCCGAAAGGAGCACUAAUACCGCAUGGUCUUCUGGUUUUUAGAACGCCAGAUGUAAAGGAUUUAUUCGCUUCGAGAGGAGCCUGCGUCCCAUCAGCUAGUUGGUAAGGUAAUGGCUUACCAAGGCGAUGACGGGUAGGGGACCUGAGAGGGUGGCCCCCCACAAUGGAACUGAAACACGGUCCAUACACCUACGGGUGGCAGCAGUAGGGAAUAUUAGUAAUGGGCGAAAGCCUGAACUAGCGACACCGCGUGUGCGAAGAAGGCCUCGGUUGUAAGCACUUUUAGUAGAGGAGUGAGGAAGGACGGGUAACUCUACUCGUAAUAAGUACUCGGCUAACUACGUAGCCAGCAGCCGCGGUAAGUCAUACUCGUA
rnacentral:rRNA from 1 species